rnacentral:pre_miRNA from 1 species
UUUAAGUGCAGUUGUAGGCUCCUAUGUUCAAUGUUUAACCAUCCGUCUUAAUUAAAAUUUUCUAUGAUUAGUAUGUUUAUUGUUAUUAGAUGAUAAAAUAUAAUAGUCUUUAUGCAUGAUUUUUUUAAAAAAAUAUAAAAUUUUUAAAUAAGACGACCGAUCAAAAUGUUAAAAAAAACCACUGUACUUAAG